GUGGUUUGUCGCGUUGUUCGUGAAAUCUCACGGCUUAACUGUGAGCGUGCGGGCGAUACGGGCAGACUUGAGUACUGCAGGGGAGACUGGAAUUCCUGGUGUAGCGGUGGAAUGCGCAGAUAUCAGGAGGAACACCGGUGGCGAAGGCGGGUCUCUGGGCAGUAACUGACGCUGAGGAGCGAAAGCGUGGGGAGCGAACAGGAUUAGAUACCCUGGUAGUCCACGCCGUAAACGGUGGGUACUAGGUGUGGGUUUCCUUCCUUGGGAUCCGUGCCGUAGCUAACGCAUUAAGUACCCCGCCUGGGGAGUACGGCCGCAAGGCUAAAACUCAAAGAAAUUGACGGGGGCCCGCACAAGCGGCGGAGCAUGUGGAUUAAUUCGAUGCAACGCGAAGAACCUUACCUGGGUUUGACAUGCACAGGACGCCGGCAGAGAUGUCGGUUCCCUUGUGGCCUGUGUGCAGGUGGUGCAUGGCUGUCGUCAGCUCGUGUCGUGAGAUGUUGGGUUAAGUCCCGCAACGAGCGCAACCCUUGUCUCAUGUUGCCAGCGGGUAAUGCCGGGGACUCGUGAGAGACUGCCGGGGUCAACUCGGAGGAAGGUGGGGAUGACGUCAAGUCAUCAUGCCCCUUAUGUCCAGGGCUUCACACAUGCUACAAUGGCCGGUACAAAGGGCUGCGAUGCCGCGAGGUUAAGCGAAUCCUUUUAAAGCCGGUCUCAGUUCGGAUCGGGGUCUGCAACUCGACCCCGUGAAGUCGGAGUCGCU
rnacentral:rRNA from 2 species